UAGUGAACCAGUACCGUGAGGGAAAGGCGAAAAGAACCCCGGCGAGGGGAGUGAAAAAGAACCUGAAACCGUGUACGUACAAGCAGUGGGAGCACGCUUAGGCGUGUGACUGCGUACCUUUUGUAUAAUGGGUCAGCGACUUAUAUUCUGUAGCAAGGUUAACCGAAUAGGGGAGCCGAAGGGAAACCGAGUCUUAACUGGGCGUUAAGUUGCAGGGUAUAGACCCGAAACCCGGUGAUCUAGCCAUGGGCAGGUUGAAGGUUGGGUAACACUAACUGGAGGACCGAACCGACUAAUGUUGAAAAAUUAGCGGAUGACUUGUGGCUGGGGGUGAAAGGCCAAUCAAACCGGGAGAUAGCUGGUUCUCCCCGAAAGCUAUUUAGGUAGCGCCUCGUGAAUUCAUCUCCGGGGGUAGAGCACUGUUUCGGCAAGGGGGUCAUCCCGACUUACCAACCCGAUGCAAACUGCGAAUACCGGAGAAUGUUAUCACGGGAGACACACGGCGGGUGCUAACGUCCGUCGUGAAGAGGGAAACAACCCAGACCGCCAGCUAAGGUCCCAAAGUCAUGGUUAAGUGGGAAACGAUGUGGGAAGGCCCAGACAGCCAGGAUGUUGGCUUAGAAGCAGCCAUCAUUUAAAGAAAGCGUAAUAGCUCACUGGUCGAGUCGGCCUGCGCGGAAGAUGUAACGGGGCUAAACCAUGCACCGAAGCUGCGGCAGCGACACUAUGUGUUGUUGGGUAGGGGAGCGUUCUGUAAGCCUGUGAAGGUGUACUGUGAGGUAUGCUGGAGGUAUCAGAAGUGCGAAUGCUGACAUAAGUAACGAUAAAGCGGGUGAAAAGCCCGCUCGCCGGAAGACCAAGGGUUCCUGUCCAACGUUAAUCGGGGCAGGGUGAGUCGACCCCUAAGGCGAGGCCGAAAGGCGUAGUCGAUGGGAAACAGGUUAAUAUUCCUGUACUUGGUGUUACUGCGAAGGGGGGACGGAGAAGGCUAUGUUGGCCGGGCGACGGUUGUCCCGGUUUAAGCGUGUAGGCUGGUUUUCCAGGCAAAUCCGGAAAAUCAAGGCUGAGGCGUGAUGACGAGGCACUACGGUGCUGAAGCAACAAAUGCCCUGCUUCCAGGAAAAGCCUCUAAGCAUCAGGUAACAUCAAAUCGUACCCCAAACCGACACAGGUGGUCAGGUAGAGAAUACCAAGGCGCUUGAGAGAACUCGGGUGAAGGAACUAGGCAAAAUGGUGCCGUAACUUCGGGAGAAGGCACGCUGAUAUGUAGGUGAAGUCCCUCGCGGAUGGAGCUGAAAUCAGUCGAAGAUACCAGCUGGCUGCAACUGUUUAUUAAAAACACAGCACUGUGCAAACACGAAAGUGGACGUAUACGGUGUGACGCCUGCCCGGUGCCGGAAGGUUAAUUGAUGGGGUUAGCCGCAAGGCGAAGCUCUUGAUCGAAGCCCCGGUAAACGGCGGCCGUAACUAUAACGGUCCUAAGGUAGCGAAAUUCCUUGUCGGGUAAGUUCCGACCUGCACGAAUGGCGUAAUGAUGGCCAGGCUGUCUCCACCCGAGACUCAGUGAAAUUGAACUCGCUGUGAAGAUGCAGUGUACCCGCGGCAAGACGGAAAGACCCCGUGAACCUUUACUAUAGCUUGACACUGAACAUUGAGCCUUGAUGUGUAGGAUAGGUGGGAGGCUUUGAAGUGUGGACGCCAGUCUGCAUGGAGCCGACCUUGAAAUACCACCCUUUAAUGUUUGAUGUUCUAACGUUGACCCGUAAUCCGGGUUGCGGACAGUGUCUGGUGGGUAGUUUGACUGGGGCGGUCUCCUCCUAAAGAGUAACGGAGGAGCACGAAGGUUGGCUAAUCCUGGUCGGACAUCAGGAGGUUAGUGCAAUGGCAUAAGCCAGCUUGACUGCGAGCGUGACGGCGCGAGCAGGUGCGAAAGCAGGUCAUAGUGAUCCGGUGGUUCUGAAUGGAAGGGCCAUCGCUCAACGGAUAAAAGGUACUCCGGGGAUAACAGGCUGAUACCGCCCAAGAGUUCAUAUCGACGGCGGUGUUUGGCACCUCGAUGUCGGCUCAUCACAUCCUGGGGCUGAAGUAGGUCCCAAGGGUAUGGCUGUUCGCCAUUUAAAGUGGUACGCGAGCUGGGUUUAGAACGUCGUGAGACAGUUCGGUCCCUAUCUGCCGUGGGCGCUGGAGAACUGAGGGGGGCUGCUCCUAGUACGAGAGGACCGGAGUGGACGCAUCACUGGUGUUCGGGUUGUCAUGCCAAUGGCACUGCCCGGUAGCUAAAUGCGGAAGAGAUAAGUGCUGAAAGCAUCUAAGCACGAAACUUGCCCCGAGAUGAGUUCUCCCUGACUCCUUGAGAGUCCUGAAGGAACGUUGAAGACGACGACGUUGAUAGGCCGGGUGUGUAAGCGCAGCGAUGCGUUGAGCUAACCGGUACUAAUGAACCGUGAGGCUUAACCUU
rnacentral:rRNA from 1 species